AUUGAACGCUGGCGGCAGGCCUAACACAUGCAAGUCGAGCGAUCGGCGGACGGGUGCGUAAUGCCUAGGAAUCUGCCUGUUAGUGGUGGUUAACGUCCGCUACCGGGCGCUAAUACCACAUCCUAUCAGCUGCGCCUAGGUCGGAUUAGCUAGUAGGUGGGGUAAUGGCUCACCUAGGCGACGAUCCCUAGCUGGUCUGAGAGGAUGACCAGCCACACUGGAACUGAGACACGGUCCAGACUCCUACGGGAGGCAGCAGUGGGGAAUAUUGCACAAUGGGCGCAAGCCUGAUGCAGCCAUGCCGCGUGUAUGAAGAAGGCCUUCGGGUUGUAAAGUACUUUCAGCGAGGAGGCGUUACCCGCAGAAGAAGCACCGGCUAACUCCGUGCCAGCAGCCGCGGUAAUAC
rnacentral:rRNA from 1 species